UCCUCGGUAGCUCAAUUGGUAGAGCGGGUGGCUGUUAACCACUAGGUUCGAGGUUCAAGUCCUUGCCGAGGAGCCA
rnacentral:tRNA from 1 species